rnacentral:rRNA from 1 species
CAAAAAAGAGAAAGAAGAGCAAUGAAAAACUUUUUUUUUUCCGGGGAAACUAGGGCUAAAAACGGAAGGUUGUUUGAACCGUAUGGUUCAAACAUAAAGGUGGCUUCGGCUACCACUUACGGAUGGACCCGCGGCGCAUUAGCUAGUUGGUGAGGUAACGGCUCUCCAAGGCUACGAUGCGUACCGACCUGAGAGGGUGAUCGGCCACACUGGGACUGAGACACGGCCCACACUCCUACGGGAGGCAGCAGUAGGGAAUCUUCCGCAAUGGACGAAAGUCUGACGGAGCAACGCCGCGUGAGUGAUGAAGGUUUUCGGAUCGUAAAGCUCUGUUGUUAGGGAAGAACAAGUACCGUUCGAAUAGGGCGGUACCUUGACGGUACCUAACCAGAAAGCCACGGCUAACUACGUGCCAGCAGCCGCGGUAAUACUAGGUGGCAAGCGUUGUCCGGAAUUAUUGGGCGUAAAGGGCUCGCAGGCGGUUUCUUAAGUCUGAUGUGAAAGCCCCCGGCUCAACCGGGGAGGGUCAUUGAAAACUGGGGAACUUGAGUGCAGAAGAGGAGAGUGGAAUUCCACGUGUAGCGGUGAAAUGCGUAGAGAUGUGGAGGAACACCAGUGGCGAAAGCGACUCUCUGGUCUGUAACUGACGCUGAGGAGCGAAARCGUGSGGAGCGAACASGAUUAUAUACCCUGGUAGUCCACGCCGUAAACGAUGAGUGCUAAGUGUUAGGGGGUUUCCGCCCCUUAGUGCUGCAGCUAACGCAUUAAGCACUCCGCCYGGGGAGUACGGUCGCAAGACUGAAACUCAAAGGAAUUGACGGGGGSCCGCACCAGCGGUGGAGCAUGUGGUUUAAUUCGAAGCAACGCGAAGAACCUUACCAGGUCUUGACAUCCUCUGACAAUCCUAGAGAUAGGCACGUCCCCUUCGGGGGCAGAGUGACAGGUGGUGCAUGGUUGUCGUCAGCUCGUGUCGUGAGAUGUUGKGGUUAAGUCCCGCAACGAGCGCAACCCUUGAUUUUUGUUGCCAGCAUUCAGUUGGGCACUCUAAGGAGACUGCCGGUGACAAACCGGAGGAAGGUGGGGAAGCAGUCAAAUCAUCAUGCCCCUUAUGACCUGGGCUACCCACGUGCUCCAAUGGACAGAACAAAGGGCAGCGAAACCGCGAGGUUAAGCCAAAUCCCACAAAUCUGUUCUCAUUUCGGAUC